AUGACUCUCGGCAACGGAUAUCUCGGCUUUCGCAUCGAUGAAGAAUGUAGCGAAAUGCGAUACUUGGUGUGAAUUGCAGAAUCCCGUGAACCAUCGAGUCUUUGAACGCAAGUUGCACCCAAAGCCAACAGGCUUAGGGCACGUCUGUCUGGGUGUCAUGC
rnacentral:rRNA from 1 species